GUGGGGUUGUGGCUCAGUGGCAGAGCUCUUGCCUAACACAUGUGAGGCACUGGGUUUGAUCCUCAGCACCACA
rnacentral:tRNA from 1 species